rnacentral:rRNA from 1 species
CCUACGGGUGGCAGCAGUGAGGAAUAUUGGUCAAUGGACGAGAGUCUGAACCAGCCAAGUAGCGUGAAGGAUGACUGCCCUAUGGGUUGUAAACUUCUUUUAUAAAGGAAUAAAACGAGGCACGUGUGCCUUUUUGCAUGUACUUUAUGAAUAAGGAUCGGCUAACUCGGUGCCAGCAGCCGCGGUAAUACGGAGGAUCCGAGCGUUAUCCGGAUUUAUUGGGUUUAAAGGGAGCGUAGAUGGGUUGUUAAGUCAGUUGUGAAAGUUUGCGGCUCAACCGUAAAAUUGCAAUUGAUACUGGCAGUCGUGAGUACAGUUGAGGUAGGCGGAAUUCGUGGUGUAGCGGUGAAAUGCUUAGAUAUCACGAAGAACACCGAUUGCGAAGGCAGCUUACUAAACUGUGACUGACAUUGAUGCUCGAAAGUGUGGGUAUCAAACAGGAUUAGAUACCCUUGUAGUC